rnacentral:rRNA from 1 species
AACACAGGUGCUGCAUGGCUGUCGUCAGCUCGUGUCGUGAGAUGUUGGGUUAAGUCCCGCAACGAGACGCAACCCCUGUGGUUAGUUGCCAGCAAGUAGCGUUGGGCACUCUAGCCAGACUGCCGGUGAUAAAUCGGAGGAAGGUGGGGGACGACGUCAAAUCAUCAUGCCCUUUAUGUCCUGGGCUACACACGUACUACAAUGGCCGUUACAACGGGAAGCGAAGGAGCAAUCCGGAGCAAAUCCCUUAAAGGCGGUCCCAGUUCAGAUUGUGGGCUGAAACUCGCCCACAUGAAGGCGGAAUUGCUAGUAAUUGCAGAUCAGCAUGCUGCCAGUCGAAUACGUUCCCGGGCCUU